rnacentral:rRNA from 1 species
GCACAAGCAGCGGAGCGUGUGGUUUAAUUCGAUGAUACACGAAGAACCUUACCAAGGUUUGACAUGCAAGUGGUAGUGAACUGAAAGGGAACGACCCUUCGGGGAGCUUGCACAGGUGCUGCAUGGCUGUCGUCAGCUCGUGUCGUGAGAUGUUCGGUUAAGUCCGCUAACGAGCGCAACCCUCACUGUGUGUUAUACGUGUCACACGGGACCGCCGGUUUUAAGCCGGAGGAAGGUGGGGAUGACGUCAAGUCAGCAUGGCCUUUAUAUCUUGGGCCACACACACGCUACAAUGGCCAGUACAAUGGGAUGCCAAGCCGCAAGGCGGAGCCAACCCUCAAAGCUGGUCUCAGUUCGGAUUGCAGGCUGCAACUCGCCUGCAUGAGGCCGGAGUUGCUAGUAACCGCAGGUCAGCUAUACUGCGGUGAAUACGUUCCCGGGGCUU